AGCGAACGCUGGCGGCAGGCUUAACACAUGCAAGUCGAGCGGACCUUUCGGGGUCAGCGGCGGACGGGUGAGUAACGCGUGGGAACGUGCCUUCCGGUUCGGAAUAACCCUGGGAAACUAGGGCUAAUACCGGGUACGCCCUUAUGGGGAAAGGUUUACUGCCGGAAGAUCGGCCCGCGUCUGAUUAGCUAGUUGGUGGGGUAACGGCCUACCAAGGCGACGAUCAGUAGCUGGUCUGAGAGGAUGAUCAGCCACACUGGGACUGAGACACGGCCCAGACUCCUACGGGAGGCAGCAGUGGGGAAUAUUGGACAAUGGGCGCAAGCCUGAUCCAGCCAUGCCGCGUGAGUGAUGAAGGCCUUAGGGUUGUAAAGCUCUUUUAUCCGGGACGAUAAUGACGGUACCGGAGGAAUAAGCCCCGGCUAACUUCGUG
rnacentral:rRNA from 1 species